GCUCGCAUCGUUAUGAUUCGAAGAACCAACGAAUCGCUUCCUUGUAGAGUUUUCUCUCAGAGGCUCAGUGCUUUAAGGAUCGAACCCAGAUAUCAGCUCUGCCUCUCAAACCCGCUUGUUGCAGUAAACUGAGACAGUCAGUGAACUUAAAAGUUACGAAGUUCAUGAUGCAAAUACCUGCCAUCUUGGUAUAAAAAUCUACUUAUUAUAAGUUUUCAGGGAGUUUAUUACUUCCCAAAUUCAGAUAUUUAGCAACCGUGAAAGAUCGUUAUAGUGUCUCAGGUUCAGGAUCUGUCAAAACCAUGACUGGAGCUAACCCAUUAGGCCAUUGCAGACAUAACAUACAUGGGAAGAAGGAAUGGCACGUUCUAAAUUCAUACGACUAUAACAAUGUGUACACUGACAUCUAUGCUCUGUUGGCCUCCAAGUAAAAGAUAUGGCAAGAAAACUGCAGGGUCUGUGAUGAUAUUGUUCUUCUUACUCUUUUUCCUUGAAUUCCUUGUCCUAAGGUUUUCCCAUGAAAUUACUGGAGUAGAUAUAGCUAUAACUGGAACUCGAUUGAUCUUCCAGUGGCAUUAUCCAACUGGAAAAUAUGGGUUGGGGUACAGUACAGAAAUCCUCCUCUGCCCUUUCAAUAUACACAUUGUAGAUUAUGUACAAAUGCCUCUGAACCCAAUGAAAUCCUUGUUUCCUACUAUCGUGAAAAAGAUAAUGUUAGGCAUAUAUGAUUAGGGUAUUUCAACUGCAAAAUGGACCUGCAAGUAGAUUUUUACCUUUAAUUUUUUAAUUCUGCUUACCGCAUGUAUAGACAGGCAAACACAAACAAUAAUGGAUUCUACUAAUAUUAUGAGAUGUUCGGCUUGUCAUCAAACAUUUUUCACUCUCGCGUGGUUCAAGCUGAAUUGUCAAGGAGCCUAAGGUUGGGCUGUCUGUUAGCCAAACAAUAGCCUCUGGAUGCAAAGCAUCUCAUUUGUUAUAUUCUCUCUGGCGUCUUCUAAUUCUUUAGAUGACUAGGUUCUCAAUGGAGGACCAUCAUUGUAAGCAAAUUAGCAAUUGAACUAUCCUUGGUAUUUUGCUCUGCAAAACCCCACAGAGCAACAGUCUUUAACAUUCUCUUACCUUGUCCUUGGACCGAGCUGUUUUAGCUCCUAAAGGUAGUUAAAAUUGAAAGUACAGUGAAAUCAGGCUGGCUUCUGAACCUUUAAACGACUCAAGGGUAGUUGUUGUUCCUCCGUCAAAGUUAUUUCGUCUCUCUCCCUUUCCCUUUUUCUAGGUUGAAUUCAUUGAGGAGGACAAAGAAACCCACAACCGACCAAUAUACGGAUUACGGCCGAAGUAUUUUUAAGAGUUCCAUAUGAAUGAAUGCUCAUCACAGGCUAGCUCUUUAAUUAAAAGAAUUCAGAGGGUGCCUUGCCACUUAAACCUCGUGAACAGGAUAACAUUGGAGUUCGCAUAGAUAAACAUAACGUAUUAAUGGUUAUGGGGGGGGCAGUCUUAUUUGUCAGAUAAGGUUGGUGAUUCGAUCGGGUGGGGAGCCAGUUGAAUAGCUUUCCAAAGUGAUGCUUGUGCUGAUAAAUGCUAAUAAAUAUUUAAAUGUUGUCCUUUAGUGGUUGUUCAUCAAUGGUUCUCUGAAGUGGUCACUUGCUAAAAUCCUUUCUCUUUUCUCUUUUUGUUUCUACUUUUAGCUGAUAAUCAUUUCCUCAUUAGAUUUUGCUUUUGCUUUUCCCGAUAAAAUCAAUGUUUUCAUAUGCGUAGUGGGAGUAGUUGUAAACUUUCACUGAAAGUAACACUAUUUCUUCCUCAAAAUAAGAGUUUGCUUUAUAUCA